rnacentral:tRNA from 1 species
UCCCUGCUAGCUCAGAGGUUAAAGCAUCUGCCUCCAAUGCGGGAGACCCAGGUUCAGUCCCUGGGUCGGGAA